rnacentral:tRNA from 1 species
GGCCUCGUAGCUCAGCUGGUAAAGCGUGCGCUGUUCAUAAGCGUAGGUGGCGUCCACACGUGGGUUCGAAUCCCACCAAAGCUA